rnacentral:rRNA from 1 species
UACGUAGGGGGCAAGCGUUGUCCGGAAUCAUUGGGCGUAAAGCGAGCGUAGGCGGCCCGAUAAGUCUGCUGUAAAAGUCAACGGCUCAACCGUUGAAAGCCGGUGGAUACUGUCGGGCUAGAGUUCGGAAGAGGCAAGUGGAAUUCCUGGUGUAGCGGUGAAAUGCGUAGAGAUCAGGAAGAACAUCGGUGGCGAAGGCGCUCUGCUGGACCAUAACUGACACUCAGGGACGAAAGCUAGGGGAGCGAAUGGG